rnacentral:rRNA from 1 species
GAUGAACGCUGGCGGCGUGCUUAACACAUGCAAGUCGAACGGAAAGGCUCCUGCUUGCAGGGGUACUCGAGUGGCGAACGGGUGAGUAACACGUGGGUGAUCUGCCCUGCACUUCGGGAUAAGCCUGGGAAACUGGGUCUAAUACCGGAUAGGACGAUGGUUUGGAUGCCAUUGUGGAAAGUUUUUUCGGUGUGGGAUGAGCUCGCGGCCUAUCAGCUUGUUGGUGGGGUAAUGGCCUACCAAGGCGUCGACGGGUAGCCGGCCUGAGAGGGUGUACGGCCACAUUGGGACUGAGAUACGGCCCAGACUGCUACGGGAGGCAGCAGUGGGGAAUAUUGCACAAUGGGCGCAAGCCUGAUGCAGCGACGCCGCGUGGGGGAUGACGGCCUUCGGGUUGUAAACUCCUGUCGCUAGGGACGAAGCGCAAGUGACGGUACCUGGAGAAGAAGCACCGGCUAACUACGUG